rnacentral:tRNA from 1 species
CGUGGUUGAGUGGUAAGCGGCAGGUCUGGGGUGGCUAGGGCGGUGGUUCGAAUCCC